UACGUAGGGGGGCUAGCGUUGUCCGGAAUCAUUGGGCGUAAAGAGCUCGUAGGCGGCUUGUCACGUCGGGUGUGAAAGACCGGGGGCUUAACCCCCGGUUCUGCAUUCGAUACGGGGCUGGCUAGAGUGUGGUAGGGGGAGAUCGAAUUCCUGGUGUAGUGGUGAAAAUGCGCAGAUAUCAGGAGGAACACCGGUGGCGAAGGCGGAUCUCUGGGCCAUUACUGACGCUGAGGAGCGAAAGCGUGGGGAGCGAACAGG
rnacentral:rRNA from 1 species